AGAAAUAGAAGCCGUCACCCUUAUCCCUAACCUCCUGACCCCAACCAUCCCACACAUCACGCCAUGGAUUGCGCCGCCGCCCUGCUCAACAGCCAACGCCGUCGCCGCCUGCCCCAUCCGUCGUCGCUCCCGCCGCAUCAACCCUCUGCCGCAUCCCACCGCCAUCAUGAACCAUCUCUCUCCUUGGUCUUCUGUCUUUGACCAAUACUGGGUGGCGGCUGUGCUUCCGGUCGCGUGGUGGCGAUGUGGCUGGUCGAGGGAACACAGUGUUCCUGUUGUGCCCCUUCACACAUUGGACCACCGUGGCGCGGAAGUACAUGGAGAAGAUCGCGCUGCUCUUAGCAAAUUCGGGUGUUUUGAGUCGGCUACCCAGCAAGGGGUAUGGUCACAUGGAUGAUUAGCAUCUUUUGGCAAAAGCAUGUUAAUUCACUGAAGAAAUACUACUGCACCUAUGACUAUGAGCGGAGAUGUCCACUCACGAUUUUUGAGGACCACUUGAGGAUGUGAUCAGUAGUGCAGCUUCAAAGCUGCUUGAUAUGACAUAGUGUUUGAUUUUUACAAAUCUGAAAGUCAAGCCUAAGCAAUGUUACGGUUCAGAUCUAAACCUUAAACUUACUGAUUAUUUGUUGUGCGUUACUAAUCUGACCGGCCAUCGAUCUCCACCUUAACCUUAUUUAUCUUUCUUAUUAGCUCCACGUCUCUAGCGUCUAUAGAGUCCUAACCCAAGAAUAUCUCCUGCCGCCUUCAGUCCAAACCCUCGGCAAGAGUCUCCCCUGCAUCCUCCUCUUCUCCUUGCCGCCUAUGUCUCCUUCUUUUGCUCCUCGGGUCGCUAUUGUGACGCGUCCGUCGUCUUUUUCAUGAGGAGCUAGAUGAUUUCAGUCUGAGAUUACAUCCUCCUAUAGAGAAUCCUACCCUUUCCAUGCUGUCACUGUAGCCAGGUCUAGCAAAGGGGAUAAAUUUAUGUUGCAAAUGAGAUGCUAAAGUUUAUAUGCAGAGGUGUGCAACUCUGUAUCCAUCAACAUCCAUACUUCAGGGUGGAGUAGAGGAAGGGAGCAUUUACCAGAGAUGUGUUUUUAGCAGCAUUAUUUUUAGAUAAAAUAAUUAUACCUGCUUUUAUCUGUAAGCUGCACACAGGGCAGAGGAUGCAAUUUGGUUUAGAAGAAGAAGAAAACACAUUGACACUAUGGCUUAUAAUUCUUAUGAUAGUAUCAGAAAAUAUAUGCAAUAUGAUUUAGGUAACAAAAACACAGCAUUAUGUCUUCGUUGGAAAAUUUGCCACUCCGGAGACAUAGACAGAAUUAUCACUUUCAUCUUAUUAAUGGUAUUUUCUUAAAGUAAGAAGAUAAAGAAGAGAUGGGUUUAUAUGAAGCAGGCCUGCCGCAAGAGUCAAAAGAUGAUGUCUCAGUAUUUCACAUUUAAAGCAAGGACAAGUGCUCAUAAAUGAUUAUAUGUAUCUACUUUAUUAAACUAGCAUAUUAACUAAUCACCCGAAUCCAUGUACUCUAUAUUCUUACUGAUUGCAUGACGUUCUUUUGCUUCUUGAUAAAUAUGUCCAUUUUCAUUAUUAUUUCAUAAUAUCUGCUAUGUACAGUGGCAUCAUUGAGCAUUCCUUUACUUUUCACAUUUCAGUUCAAUGUUCUGCACAGUGCACAGUAUAACGCUACAUUGGAUGGCGCUAUUAAAUACUUCGAGGUCAUGUGACAGAGCACGAAAAAAGAACUAUUGAGGUUUUUUUUAAAUCAAAAUCACAAUGUUAUAUAUAUGUUUCGUGCCUCUCACGUCAAUUCUAAGAGGGCACAGGUUGGGUUCAAUAUUUUUAUCGUCAGAUCUAACCAUGAUGAAGGCAGGCCCCUCCGAUUGCUAUUAGGAAUGUGGAAGGUUGACCAGCCGUCUCUUCCUCUCCAUGGUGUGCAUGUUAAGAACUUAUGCAGCAGCGGACGCCAAUUUCAUGGAGCCGUCAGCAUCAACUUUUGUGGAGUCCUCUUCUAGGAUCUGAUACGAGUCCCUCCGACAUCAGAUAAGGUUUGGGUAUGCAUGAGGACGAAUCGGAUAAUCAAUUGCAAACUAAUUGUAUCGUAUGUUGUGUACUAUCGACGCAUUUGCUUGGGUGGAAAAGUCUCGCUUCUGAUUACAGCACUUUCAGAAGACAGUAGAAGUCGUUUGGUUCAGCCCUUCUGAUUUGUGUUACGGUGCUAUCGGAUAAAGCGCUUCACUUCGCUUCCGUGAAAAAGUCCGAUCACGGCUGGAUACAGGAUCCUCUCCACUACGCAUUCACUCACGGCCAAGCCAAACAAAACGCAUAUUCAGGACUCAGGAGGAAAUAUCAGAGGCAAAGCUUCCCGACAGUAAAAAUCAAAAACGAUACAAACGUGGAACCAAACGCCUCCCAUAUUUCUUCGGUUCCACUUGGAAAACAUAGAUUGAUUAUGUAUCAAUAAACCAUGUGUUAGUCAAGACAAAAACAUGGAUGUGAAGCUCAGAGAAAAAUGCAUAGAAAGUUGUAUCAAGGUGGUUCUUCAAGGAAGCAAGGACCGAGGCUUGCAAUACGUGAGCCAGAUGAUGAACUACCUGGGGAAGCUUACGUGCGGCCUUGUGAAUGGCCGUCAAAAGAGUUUAUGGUUCGAGCAGGCAUUAAGGAUGAAUUCGAUGCAUAUGUGCGUAAUGCUGAUCUUGAGGAAUUCAUGCAAGAUAAGUGCCCUCAAUACCAAUAUUUAACUGAUUCAUUUGUGAGAAGGUUUAAAUUUACAUCUUCGCGUAAUUGUCACAAUGUACUGUUUGAUCUUUAUGAUAAAUCAUAUACCAUGGUCUUAGAAGAUUUUACUACUGCUUGUAAACUCCCACAAUGGGUAGUGCUAGUGAACCUCGCAAAUUUGAAUUUAAAGAUUUUCUUACUAGUAUCACUAUGGGGGAAUCCAGAGAAAUAGCACAAGCCACCAUAGGGAGCAUUCAUUUUCCUGCUAUACAUUAUUUUGCUCUUUUUAUAGGCAGAUGCGUAAAUGGUAAGAACGAAGCAUGUCACAUGUGUGUUCCUGACCUUAGCAUUCUCAGGAGUGCGGUGUUAGGAGAUAAACAAUAUAACUUGGGGGUCAUCGUUGCAUGUAGGUUGCAUAAUAAUGGUUUAAUUGGAGAUUUGUUUAGUGGGAUUUAUGCAACCUGUAUAGCUAAUUAUCUUGGGGUACCCAUACAUGAAAAUGAUAGAGAGUUGAUUUCUGCUUACCUAGAUUAUAAUGCCAUGGUUAACCACCAGUUUAUUGAAAGGAAAGAACAAUCCCUCCAAUAUCGACUAAUCUUUGACAGACGUCGCGCUAUCCAUAUUACUCUCCCUGCUCCUGCUUUCUUUGACUAUCAGGCAAAAAGAAGAUAUAUUAUAACCAGGGAGGAAGCGAACGAGUACGAGAAGAGGACGGAGGCAGCUCGCCGCCAGGCUGUCGCUCGUGAGGCAAUGGCUUGUGCAUCUCAGUACGACCCCAGUUACAACUUCGAAUAUCCACCAGGCCAUCCAUGGGCAUAGACCAACUUAGGCCAAAAGCCUAAGCUUGGGGGGUACAUAUUUCUCACCGACAUCACAUUCAUGUUCACACACUCAUUCUAGUUGUCGGUGCUCAUACUUUUUCACUGUGCUAUCCAUGCUAGUUUAUAUUUUAUUUUCUUGCUUUCUUCUCGUGUGUUUGAAUAAUCUUAAGAAAAAAAUUAGUAAUAGCUUUUAGCUAGUUUACUUUUCAUGCCUGUAGUAGUAAUAAUUAAAAGAAAACUCAAAAAGAUUUCUCAUUCUUCCUUUUGCUUGUUGGGAGCUUUCCCGUGUAAAUAGUUUUAUUUCCAUUCUUUGGGGGUUAAAAGGAGAAGACCUUAAUAGAAUUUUUAAGUGUCUCUUUUAUGCAUAAUUGAUUGAUUUAACCAAGAUCCCAUAUUAUAUUGUCUUCUCUCUUAAAUUGAAUGCUUGCAGAUUCCAGCUUAGUCCAAUGCACGUGCACUAUUAUUAUUAUCCACACUGUUCGGUCGUGCAAGUGCAAGGAAAUAAUGAUGAUAUAUGUUGAAAUGAUUGAGAUAAAAGGAGCUGGUAUGAACUUGACCUAUCUUGUUUUUGUAAAUAUGAUUAGUUCAUCGUUCCUGAUUCAACUUAUUAUGAAUAAACAUGUUUGCAAUGACAAGUAGAGAUUAUAGUUGCUUAUGUCAUGCUUAAUUAGCUAGGAGUCUAUAAUGGUUUACCUUGCGUGCCAACAUGCUAUUAAAAUGAUUGUGAUGUGGUAUGAUAAGGUGGUAU